rnacentral:rRNA from 1 species
CCUACGGGUGGCAGCAGUGAGGAAUAUUGGGCAAUGGGCGCGAGCCUGAACCAGCCAAGUAGCGUGAAGGAAGAAUGCUCUCCGGGUUGUAAACUCUUUUGAUAAAGGAAAAAAGUGAGGCGCGUGUGCCUUUUUGUAUGUACUUUAUGAAUAAGGAACGGCUAACUCCGUGCCAGCAGCCGCGGUAAUACGGAGGAUCCGAGCGUUAUCCGGAUUUAUUGGGUUUAAAGGGAGCGUAGGUGGGUUUGUAAGUCAGUUGUGAAAGUUUGCGGGUCAACCGGAAGAUUGCUAUUGAUACUGGCAUCCUUGAGUACAGUAGAGGCAGGCGGAAUUCGUGGUGUAGCGGUGAAAUGCUUAGAUAUUAGGAAGAACUCCGGUGGCGAAGGCAGCUUACUAGACUGCCACUGACGUUGAGGCUCGAAAGUGUGGGGAUCAAACAGGAUUAGAUACCCUUGUAGUC